UACGUAGGAUGCUAGCGUUGUCCGGAUUUACUGGGCGUAAAGCGCGCGCAGGCGGCACUGUAAGUAAGGUGUGAAAUAUCCCUGCUCAACGGGGAGGGUGCACUUUAGACUGCAGAGCUAGAGGACGGUAGAGGGGGGUGGAAUUGCUGGUGUAGCGGUGAAAUGCGUAGAGAUCAGCAGGAACACCCGUGGCGAAGGCGGCAUCCUGGACCGGCAUUGACGCUGAGGCGCGAAAGCCAGGGGAGCAAACGGG
rnacentral:rRNA from 1 species